UAGAUAGAUAGAUAUCUGUUGACAAUCUUCCAUGGCGGCGGCGUCGGCAUCAGCGACCGACGGUGUAUCAUCCCCUGCUGCUGCAUCACAAAAGGUUUAUUUGUUUUGCUUGUGCGAUUGUUUAGAUAAUGACAGAAUGCUCGAAGAUGUUUAUGUAUUUGAUAUCGAUACAAACCCUAUGCUUCUAAAUCUAAAUGCUCCUGUAGCUCCUGCUAUUCGAUUCGAUUGUGGGUAUCCUAUGGGUAUUUGUAUUUUAAAUUCGAGGCUCUAUUUGUUUGACGGUUUCCAUCAUAAAUGCAAUCCUAAUGGAAAAUCCGUGCAUUUCUAUGAUUUUCCUUCUUCCUCCUCAUCUUGUUCUGCUGGAAAACCAGAACUUUUGGCCAUGGAGAAGUUGCAACAGUGCCCUUCUAUGAUCGGUCAGAAAUUAGAUCCCGUGGCCAUGCCAACUCCGGAUCGUACAAAGAUCCUCGCAUUUUCAGCAAGAAUUAUGGUGACGGCUCGUACAGAGGGAUAUGUUGAGAUAUACGAUUAUUUGAAUGGAACCUCAGAGGAACUGCCCCUGCCCCUUUACCCGAUCAUCUUAUGAGUCCACCUCAACCAUAUUUUUUUAUUACUGCUUACUACUUCACCAACGACACCACCUUUAUCCUUCACACUGAUACUUCUGUGGGCCUCACAUUAAGUCUUGAUCUCAACCAAAAGCAAUGGAAGGUGAUUAUGAAUGACUAUACUUGUUUGGAUGGUGCUGAGGUUGUUCGAGUCACUGAUGGUGAUUUAGGGGUGUCUAGGUAUGAAGUGUAUGACAUGAUUAUAGGACAAAAAUGUAGCAACAUUCCUCGUAAUCCCAAUGUAGAUGAGCGUUUAGUACGACGAUUUUAUAAGGUGAUGACUCUCGUAGACGCAGAUCUUAAUCAAUCACCAAAAAUUUGCAUUCUAUAUACGGAUUUUGAUUGGGAGCAUAGGAGAACUCCAUUCCGUCCUCGUGUUUACAUUGACGUUCACCGGAUCGAUCGUGCUGCCACAAUAUCUCGUGUUCGCAGAGUCACCCGCGGCGGUGGUGGACGACGUGGUGGUGUCAGGGGAUCUGGUGGUGGACGACAUGGUGACUACGUUUACAUGGAAUCAACAGUGAAUAUAAUCAAGAGUUGGAGUUAUGAAUUUGAGCUUAGCAUUCCGUAUAAGAUGUUUGAGCCCUCCGCCUUGUAUACCAAUCGAGUAAUUUUGAAAUAGAUCUCUCUCUAUCUUUGCUUCACUGGUAGUGGGUUAUCAACUCGCAAAAUACAGGUUCCAGGUCUUCUAAAAGUAUGGUACUUGCACUACAAGAAUUCAGCUGAUAGACAAUAUAAUAUAAGCAACCGUUUUCGAAAACUGUUGUCUAUAAGUUGAUAGACAACGGUUUAUAGCAUAGACGUUGUCUAUUAGUGAGAAUUAAGACGACACGUCUAAAAACCCAAUUGGGUGGACGACGUUGGGUAGUGCUGUUGUUUUUGGUCUUUUCCUUGGAGCUGGAAGCUUAAUACACGGUGGCAAAUCUUAGUAUUAGACUUGGAGAAUCAAUCCAUUUAUGCUAGACUAUGAGUAUUCUUGAAACUAAUGUGCUCCUUAAUCCUUCUUAUUUUUAGUUUGAAUGCUGCAAGAGAUAACUUCGUUUGUGUCAGUGACGAAUAGGCAGUGGAUGUGGUGCCAGAUUUUGUUUCCAAGUCUGAUGAUGGUCAUGGUUGCAAAUAAUAAUGUACAAGUUGACAAUCCUUCUCAUCUUGUUAUUUAUAUGAGUGCCCAAGGCUAUGCUGCCUAGACAACCA